CAGUAGCCGCGGGAAAACCGAGGGUGCAAGCGUUAAUCGGAAUUACUGGGCGUAAAGCGCGCGUAGGUGGUUUGUUAAGUUGGAUGUGAAAGCCCCGGGCUCAACCUGGGAACUGCAUCCAAAACUGGCAAGCUAGAGUACGGUAGAGGGUGGUGGAAUUUCCUGUGUAGCGGUGAAAUGCGUAGAUAUAGGAAGGAACACCAGUGGCGAAGGCGACCACCUGGACUGAUACUGACACUGAGGUGCGAAAGCGUGGGGAGCAAACAGGAUUAGAUACCCGCGUAGUCCCUGUCUCUUUACA
rnacentral:rRNA from 1 species